AAACAAGUCCACCCCGUAACUGAUGAGAUCUACAAUUCCCACCCCACUUUUCAAGGGCUGCAGGACCAGCAGUCCCAUCCUGUUACCCUAGGCUGUGACAGAGCUGUAGGAUCACCCUUCUGCCGUUUCUCCACUAAUCCCAAAAUAAGGGCAGUUGCUGGGCAACCAAGAGCUGUUUCAAAGUCUUCCGACUCCGGCGUAUCUACAGCUUCCCGUUGCAUAGCCCGGCUUACACAAUGCCCACAGCUGCACAACAUCUGCAGGCGGGCACUGAGCUCCAGCCAGGUAUCAGAACACUUACACAACCCCAGGAAAACCACGGCUAAGGGAUUAGCUACAAUCACCAGGCAUGUGGAAGCCUUGCAUAAGGCAGUUUUGCAACUCCUUUGUCUGUGGAAACUACAUAAUUAUUGUUUAUUAGAGAGCUGGAGUCAGGCAAUGUCAUGAAUGACUGUUAAUGUAACUUGGGACACAAACUUUCACGGAUGCAACAGCUUUAUUGGAAUGAACAAGUGCAGGGAACCUUUUAUUUGGAAGCAACAACCUGCUGGUUCAGUUACCACCCCGCAGGCGCAGGACAAGGUGCAGAGUUGACUCCUUCUGGAUGUUGUAGUCAGAGAGGGUACGGCCAUCUUCCAGCUGCUUGCCAGCAAAGAUCAGCCUCUGCUGGUCAGGAGGGAUGCCUUCCUUAUCCUGGAUCUUGGCCUUGACGUUCUCAAUGGUGUCACUGGGCUCGACCUCAAGGGUGAUGGUCUUGCCAUUCUCAAUGGUGUCACUGGGCUCGACCUCAAGGGUGAUGGUCUUGCCCGUCAGGGUCUUCACGAAGAUCUGCAUUUUUCCCUGGAAGAAGGAAAACCCGCUGUGCUUUAGUGAUGUUCCUCCUCCUCGUACCCAGGGCCGCGCCGCCAUCCGUGACGUCACAGCGAGGCCCCGACCACACCCACGGAGGGGCGGGGUCCCCACCCGCUUCCCCUUCCCGCCCGAGGCGCGCGCCCGCCAUCAUCUUGAAGCACCGCUGCGCCUGCGCCACCGCCAUUUUGCCAGCGGCCCCUCGCCCUGCCCCGCCACCGCCUCGCGGUGCUGCCGUUAAAGAGGGAAGGCAACGUCCCAGCCCUCCCCCCGCCAUCACCGUCCGCCAUCGCCCCCAGCCGCAGCUCCUCAGCGCACACACCCCUCCUUCCCGCCCAGCCCGCGUCUAGGCCUUCCCCCCGCCGAGCUCUCACCGCGGCGCUGCUCGGCCACAGCGACACCACAAACCUCAGCUAGCGCCAACUGCGCCACG
rnacentral:lncRNA from 1 species